rnacentral:rRNA from 1 species
GGAGGGGGCAAGCGUUAUUCGGAUUUACUGGGCGUAAAGCGCACGUAGGUGGCAUGAUAAGUCAAAGGUGAAAGCCCUCGGCUCAACCGAGGAAUUGCCUUUGAAACUGUCUUGCUUGAGUCCGGGAGGGGGGAGCGGAAUUCCCAGUGUAGCGGUGAAAUGCGUAGAUACUGGGAGGAACACCGGUGGCGAAGGCGGCUCCCUGGACCGGUACUGACACUGAGGUGCGAAAGCGUGGGUAGCAAACAGGAUUAGAUACCCUGGGUAGUCCACGCCGUAAACGAUGGGCACUAGGUGCAGCGGGUGUCGACCCCCCCUGCUGUGCCGUAGUUAACGCGUUAAGUGCCCCGCCUGGGGAGUACGGUCGCAAGGCUG